CUGUCUACCCAGGCUUAUACAGCAGUUUUUUUAUUUUCUUUUAUUCCCCUGAACCUUUUUGUUCCUUUAAAAUCUUUUUACUGUUAAAAAGAAAGAAAAAAAAAGGGUAAGUGAACUUUUAAAAAAAUAAGGCAUCCAGCUUCAAAACUUUAUUGAGUUAACUAAACUGUGAGGAUCUGGUGUUGCCUGAACAUAAAGAUCAGAGGCAGACAGAGAGGACCCCAAGCCCCAGACAACCAGCAGCCACCACAGAGACCAGAACCGCAACAGCCCACCGCAGGACCGGCCACGCUUCCAGACAGAAGGAGACAGAGGAAGGCCGCAACCUGGGAAAUCCAGUCAGCCUUGCAGCUGCAGCUUCUUCUUCCUUGCCUGGCCUGCUCAAAGGCUGAAUUUGGCAGAUUUACAGCCCUCCUUAUUUCUACGCGUCAAGAUGUUUAUAAAACUAAGUAAGAAUUCCCUGAGGAGUGGUGACUCCUGUUCAGCUGCUCUAUAUAUUACUUCAUGCUGCAGGCAGCAGAUUACCAGCCCCCUCUGCUUUGCUCAUCUCUACAUACUUCAAACAUUUGUUGUUAUCACUCGGAUCAUAGUUUUUCUCUUUUUUCAGUUUGAAUUUGUCUGUCGGUGUCUUGGAUCGAUAUUGUGUUAUAUGAUUAGUCCUGGUCGUAUCAUAUUCAUUGCUUUUCAUUUUGCUCCUGUAUACAGGUGUAGCCUAUAUCUAAUUCUUUUUUCCAUUUUCAACAUUCUU